ACGGAAGGCAGCAGUGGGGCAUAUUGGACAAUGGGGGAAACCCUGAUCCAGCGACGCCGCGUGAGUGAAGAAGUAUUUCGGUAUGUAAAGCUCUAUCAGCAGGGAAGAUAAUGACGGUACCUGACUAAGAAGCACCGGCUAAAUACGUGCCAGCAGCCGCGGUAAUACGUAUGGUGCAAGCGUUAUCCGGAUUUACUGGGUGUAAAGGGAGCGUAGACGGCAUGGCAAGCCAGAUGUGAAAGGCAGGGGCUCAACUCCUGGACUGCAUUUGGAACUGUCAAGCUAGAGUAUCGGAGAGGUAAGUGGAAUUCCUAGUGUAGCGGUGAAAUGCGUAGACAUUAGGAGGAACACCAGUGGCGAAGGCGGCUUGCUGGACGAUAACCGACGUUGAGGCUCGAAAGCGUGGGGAGCAAACAGGAUUAGAUACCCUGGUA
rnacentral:rRNA from 1 species